rnacentral:rRNA from 1 species
GACAGUUGCAAGAGCAGGUCCUCACGGGGCUACGCCUGUCUGAGGGUCGCU